rnacentral:rRNA from 1 species
AGUGAACGCUGGCGGCAGGCCUAACACAUGCAAGUCGAACGGCAGCACAGCAUUAGCAAUACUGUGGGUGGCGAGUGGCGGACGGGUGAGGAAUACAUCGGAAUCUGCCUAGUCGUGGGGGAUAACGUAGGGAAACUUACGCUAAUACCGCAUACGACCUACGGGUGAAAGCGGGGGAUCGCAAGACCUCGCGCGAUUAGAUGAGCCGAUGUCCGAUUAGCUAGUUGGCGGGGUAAUGGCCCACCAAGGCGACGAUCGGUAGCUGGUCUGAGAGGAUGAUCAGCCACACUGGAACUGAGACACGGUCCAGACUCCUACGGGAGGCAGCAGUGGGGAAUAUUGGACAAUGGGCGCAAGCCUGAUCCAGCCAUGCCGCGUGGGUGAAGAAGGCC